rnacentral:hammerhead_ribozyme from 1 species
AUCCAGUUGAAGAGUCCCAAAUAGGACAAAACACGCGUCCUAGAU